rnacentral:tRNA from 1 species
UAGGAGAUAGUAUAUUGGUAGUACGAAGAAUUUUGGAUUCUUAGGUGUAGGUUCAAAUCCCAUUCUUCUAG